UUCCCGUUAAUGAGGCCGCGGAGAAGCACAGACGGACUCCGGGCCUGGUCUCUCGUGCUGAGUCACAAAAGAGCCGAAGCUUUGAGAGCUGAAAAGUGUGUUCAGGACAUUUGCGGAGAACUGAUUUGUAAAACCUGCAGAGCAAACUAAAGUGGAGAAAUCCCAACUCUACAAGAACAGCCUGGCGCUUCUGACUCACAACACUGAAGCCCAGCGGAGUCCGGUGCGGGUGAACAGAAGGUGGCACGCAGUGCGCCGCGGGAUGGCCGAGCGCCUGCGAGGUGUUGUGGAGGGAUGUGGGAGUCGUUCCCACUCUGCGCCGGUGGCUUCGGCACACAGCCGCCCACUAAGAGUCGUGUCGGAGGCCAGAUCUCCAUCGCUCUGCGCUCGGCGCCGCGAGGGACGCCAGCAAGAGGAGCGAAGCAGGGGUGACUGCUGUUAUGACCCUCGGACGCCCGGGAGUGCACUGCGUAGUGAGCGUUGGAUGAGUUCUCCGUCUUCAUUCUCCUCUGUGUGUGAUCCAGCAGCGGAGACUCAGAUGUGUGGGUGUUUGUGAAGCAGGCUUACGGCGCUCAUGACCGAUGUGUUGCUCUGAAGAAGCAGAUCCUCUACAAAACAGAAGGCACGCCACGAACCCUGUUUGCUUUUGCAAUUAAGCUUGUUUGUUAUGUUCUGCGUCAGAAAGCUGAGGUGCUUUGACUCAGCCGAGCGAACGUUACUCUCAGGAUGGAUUAACACGACACGCGACGGGCAGAAAGUUCAAGUGCUGUUUGCUCUGGUGAGCGAAUCCCUUCUGAUGGAUCUGAUCCGAUGUUGACAUUUGCUUUGUGCUUCAUGUAAAUGUUAAUCAGUCCCGCUGAACAGUCUUGAUAUUAUGAGGAGAUGCUGGAGUAUUUGAGACAAGUCUUUUAAUCCUGUGACGCUUAAUGAAUAGAAACAAAUCAUUUCUGAAGCCCUUGAACACCAAAAUACGGCACCUUCAGAUUUGCAUUUAUUUGCUGUUUGUCUAGCAUCAUUAAGAGGUUUUUGU